rnacentral:rRNA from 1 species
AUUGAACGCUGGCGGCAUGCUUUACACAUGCAAGUCGAACGGUAACAGGCCUUCGGGUGCUGACGAGUGGCGAACGGGUGAGUAAUGCAUCGGAACGUACCCAGAGGUGGGGGAUAACGCAGCGAAAGCUGUGCUAAUACCGCAUGUGAUCUGAGGAUGAAAGCGGGGGACCGAGCAGCAAUGUUUGGCCUCGCGCCUUUGGAGCGGCCGAUGUCGGAUUAGCUAGUUGGUGGGGUAAAGGCCUACCAAGGCGACGAUCCGUAGCUGGUCUGAGAGGACGCCCGGCACCCCUGGGCUUGAGACAGGGCCCGACUCCCUCCGGGGGGAGGCGGUGGGAAUUUUUGGACAUUGGGCGCAAGCCUGUCCCGCCAAUGCGGCGUGGGGGAAGAGGGCCUUCGGUUUGUAACCCGCCUUUGGAGGGAACAAACGGGGGUCGGCUAAUACCGGGCGCUAAUGCCGUUACCGGCAGAAUAGCACCGGCUAACUACGUG